UUAGGUUUUCUUCUGAAAUUUUUCUGAGAUUCUUAUUGUUGAAGGUUGAUGGAGAUGAUAUGAAGAUGAAAAAGAAGAGAAA
rnacentral:pre_miRNA from 1 species